rnacentral:misc_RNA from 1 species
GUGAAUCAUCGAAUUUUUGAACGCAAAUUGCACUUUCUGGUAUUCCGAAGAGUGUUCCCGUUUACGAGUCAGUUAAAUAUAAAUCGGUCUUGUUGCUGCUUUUCGUAGUGACGCGUAGGAAUUGAGUUGUCUUACCUUUGGUUAAGAGACUUAAAGUUUUGCAUGAUUUUCGAACGUGUUUAAAUUUAUUACUUUCGUUUGAUAUAUCGAG